AAAGGACACAAGUUCUUCAUCUCCUUCCCUUCCAGCCUUCCACUGCAUAGCCGCGCCUAGUGAAUAAAUGAGUUAUUCCACGCGGCCCGUCGCAGCUUGCCUCUCUCUCCCGCCAAAUUUAGGUACAAAAUCCAAAACCUCUCCAAAUAGGAAAAGCUUCAUUUCUCUGUUGCAAAAUUGCGAACACAUUAGCCAAAUUCUACCAAUACACGCUAAAAUCAUAAGAACCAAUCAUCACAAUGACCCCUUUAUCGUCUUUGAGCUACUUCGUGUUUGCUUUAAUCUCAAAUCAAUGGACUACGCUUCCAAAAUCUUCUCUUACACUCAAAACCCAAAUGUCUACCUCUACACUGUUCUCAUUGAUGGGUUUGUGUUAUGCGGUUAUCAUAUUGACGGGAUUCAUUUAUAUUAUCAAAUGAUCAACUCAUCAAUCUUGCCAGAUAACUAUUCAAUCACUUCGGUUUUGAAAGCUUGUGGGCAUCAAUUAGCGUUGAGAGAAGUUAGAGAGGUUCACUGCCAAAUUUUGAAACUUGGGUUGAGUUCAAACAGGUCAAUAAGAAUGAAACUGAUGGAGGUUUAUGGUAAAUGUGGAGCACUAGAAGAUGCAAAGCAUGUUUUCGAUAAAAUGCCUGAACAAGAUGUUGUUGCAUCAACAAUUAUGAUAAACUCCUUCUUUGAUCAUGGAUUGGUUCAGGAGGCAACUGGUAUUUUUAAUUCGAUUAAGACUAAGGACACGGUGUGUUGGACUGCGAUGAUUGAUGGGUUGGUUAGGAAUGGGGAGAUGAACCCAGCUUUAGAGUUGUUCAGAGAAAUGCAAAGGUUGGAUGUGAGGCCAAAUGAAUUUACCAUUGUUUGUGUUUUAUCUGCUUGUUCGAGACUAGGGGCUUUGGAACUUGGAAGAUGGGUGCACUCUUAUAUGGGCAGGUAUAGGAUUGAGCUCAACCAUUUUGUUGGUGGUGCGUUGAUCAAUAUGUACUCGAGGUGCGGUGAUAUUGAUAAGGCAUGGCGGGUUUUUGAAGAGAUGAAAGAGAGGAAUGCCAUCACCUACAAUUCUAUGAUUAUGGGGUUUGCCUUGCAUGGGAAGAGUAGUGAAGCUAUUGAGCUGUUUAGGGGAAUGACAAAACAAGGACUUACUCCAACUAGUGUCACUUUUGUUGGCGUGUUGACUGCUUGCAGUCAUGGUGGUUUGGCAGAUUUGGGAUUUGAAAUCUUUCACUCUAUGGCAAGAGAUUAUGGGAUUGAACCACAAAUUGAGCACUACGGAUGUAUGGUUGAUCUUCUCGGUCGACUAGGUCGACUUGAGGAGGCAUAUCAUUUUAUUAGAACAAUGAAACUAGCACCAGAUCAUGUUAUGCUAGGAGCUUUGCUAAGUGCUUGUAAAAUUCAUGGAAAUCUGGAAUUAGGGGAAGAGAUUGCGCAAAGUUUAGUGAAUUGUGGAAAUGAGGAUUCAGGAACUUAUGUUUUACUAUCAAAUGCAUAUUCUUCAUCGGGAAAAUGGAAAGAGGCUGCUCAAGUAAGAGCAAAGAUGAAAGGAGAAGGAAUAGAAAAGGAACCAGGUUGUACUUCCAUUGAAGUGAACAAUGAGAUUCAUGAGUUCAUUUUGGGAGAUCUCAGACACUCUCAAAAGGAAGAAAUCUACAAAAAGUUGGAACAGCUGAACCAAAUAUUGAGAUUGGAAGGCUAUACUCCUGCAACAGAAGUUGUGCUACAUGAUAUUGAAGACUGGCAGAAAGAAUGGGCUUUAGCAAUGCAUAGCGAGAGGCUUGCAAUAUGCUAUGGACUAAUUUCUACAAAACCAUUUACCACAAUAAGAGUUGUAAAAAAUCUGAGGGUAUGUAAUGACUGCCACUCAAUGAUCAAGCUCAUUUCUAAGAUUACCAAGAGAAAAAUAGUAGUGAGGGAUCGCAAUAGGUUUCACCAUUUUGAAAAUGGGACUUGUUCUUGUGGAGACUACUGGUGAAAUAAGAUUUCAAAUUUUUCUUCAAA
rnacentral:misc_RNA from 1 species